GACGAACGCUGGCGGCGUGCUUAACACAUGCAAGUCGAACGAUGAACCCGGAGCUUGCUCCGGCGGAUUAGUGGCGAACGGGUGAGUAACACGUGAGUAACCUGCCCUUGACUCUGGGAUAACUGCUAGAAAUGGUAGCUAAUACCGGAUACGACCCUCGGUGGCAUCACCAGGGGGUGGAAGGAAUUUCGGUCAAGGAUGGACUCGCGGCCUAUCAGCUAGUUGGUGAGGUAACGGCUCACCAAGGCGACGACGGGUAGCCGGCCUGAGAGGGUGACCGGCCACACUGGGACUGAGACACGGGCCAGACUCCUACGGGAGGGAGCAGUGGGGAAUAUUGCACAAUGGGCGCAAGCCUGAUGCAGCAACGCCGCGUGAGGGAUGACAGCCUUCGGGUUGUAAACCUCUUUUAGUAGGGAAGAAGCGAAAGUGACGGUACCUGCAGAAAAAGCACCGGCUAACUACGUGCCAGCCGCCGCGGUAA
rnacentral:rRNA from 1 species